GUGGCGAACGGGUGAGUAACACGUGGGUAAUCUGCCCUGUACUCUGGGAUAAGCCUGGGAAACUGGGUCUAAUACCGGAUAUGACCUUUCACCGCAUGGUGGGGGGUGGAAAGUUCCGGCGGUAUGGGAUGAACCCGCGGCCUAUCAGCUUGUUGGUGGGGUAAUGGCCUACCAAGGCGACGACGGGUAGCCGGCCUGAGAGGGUGACCGGCCACACUGGGACUGAGACACGGCCCAGACUCCUACGGGAGGCAGCAGUGGGGAAUCUUAGACAAUGGGGGCAACCCUGAUCUAGCCAUGCCGCGUGAGUGAUGAAGGCCUUAGGGUUGUAAAGCUCUUUCAGCUGGGAAGAUAAUGACGGUACCAGCAGAAGAAGCCCCGGCUAACUCCGUGCCAGCAGCCGCGGUAAUACGGAGGGGGCUAGCGUUGUUCGGAAUUAUUGGGCGUAAAGAGCUCGUAGGCGGUUUGUCGCGUCGGCUGUGAAAUCUGGAGGCUUAACCUUCAGCGUGCAGUCGAUACGGGCAGACUUGAGUUCGGCAGGGGAGACUGGAAUUCCUGGUGUAGCGGUGAAAUGCGCAGAUAUCAGGAGGAACACCGGUGGCGAAGGCGGGUCUCUGGGCCGAUACUGACGCUGAGGAGCGAAAGC
rnacentral:rRNA from 1 species